CAGUAGCCGCGGUAAAACGAAGGGGGCUAGCGUUGUUCGGAAUUACUGGGCGUAAAGCGCACGUAGGCGGAUAUUUAAGUCAGGGGUGAAAUCCCAGAGCUCAACUCUGGAACUGCCUUUGAUACUGAAGAUCUUGAGUUCGGGAGAGGUGAGUGGAACUGCGAGUGUAGAGGUGAAAUUCGUAGAUAUUCGCAAGAACACCAGUGGCGAAGGCGGCUCACUGGCCCGAUACUGACGCUGAGGCACGAAAGCGUGGGGAGCAAACAGGAUUAGAUACCCCUGUAGUCCCUGUCUCUUAUAC
rnacentral:rRNA from 1 species